CAUAAAAUGUUUGACAAGCAUCCUAACUCCAGCUCUAAGGUAGUAUGUGUGAGCUGAUGCAUAUACUUACUCAGAUGUGACAUAAAAUGUUUGACAAGCAUCCUAACUCCAGCUCUAAGGUAGUAUGUGUGAGCUGAUGCAUAUACUUACUAAGAUGUGACAUAAAAUGUUUGACAAGCAUCCUAACUCCAGCUCUAAGGUAGUAUGUGUGAGCUGAUACAUAUACUUACUAAGAUGUGACAU